GACGAACGCUGGCGGCGUGCUUAACACAUGCAAGUCGAACGACGAAGCCCAGCUUGCUGGGUGGAUUAGUGGCGAACGGGUGAGUAACACGUGGGUGAUCUGCCCUGCACUCUGGGAUAAGCCUGGGAAACUGGGUCUAAUACCGGAUAUGACCUCUUGCUGCAUGGCGAGGGUGGAAAGUUUUUCGGUGCAGGAUGAGCCCGCGGCCUAUCAGCUUGUUGGUGGGGUAAUGGCCUACCAAGGCGACGACGGGUAGCCGGCCUGAGAGGGCGACCGGCCACACUGGGACUGAGACACGGCCCAGACUCCUACGGGAGGCAGCAGUGGGGAAUAUUGCACAAUGGGCGAAAGCCUGAUGCAGCGACGCCGCGUGAGGGAUGACGGCCUCGGUUGUAACGUACUUCUAG
rnacentral:rRNA from 1 species